rnacentral:tRNA from 1 species
GUCCAGGGAUGGGAAACGAACCCACAGUGUUUUGCUUACCGGGCAGAUGAUGCCAUGUCCACUAGGCUUUCCCAUCCCUGGA